UACGUAGGGGGCAAGCGUUGUCCGGAAUCAUUGGGCGUAAGGCGCGUGUAGGCGGCUCGAUAAGUCUGCUGUGAAAGUCCAGGGCUCAACCCUGGGAUGCCGGUGGAUACUGUCGAGCUCGAGUCCGGAAGAGGAGUGUGGAAUUCCCGGUGUAGCGGUGAAAUGCGCAGAUAUCAGGAGGAACACCGGUGGCGAAGGCGGGUCUCUGGGCCGAUACUGACGCUGAGGAGCGAAAGCAUGGGUAGCGAACAGG
rnacentral:rRNA from 1 species